rnacentral:rRNA from 1 species
UACGUAGGUGGCAAGCGUUGUCCGGAAUUAUUGGGCGUAAAGCGCGCGCAGGCGGUCCUUUAAGUCUGAUGUGAAAGCCCACGGCUCAACCGUGGAAGGUCAUUGGAAACUGGGGGACUUGAGUACAGAAGAGAAGAGUGGAAUUCCACGUGUAGCGGUGAAAUGCGUAGAGAUGUGGAGGAACACCCGUGGCGAAGGCGGCCCCCUGGGCCGAACCUGACGCUGAGGCGCGAAAGCGUGGGGAGCGAACAGGA